rnacentral:rRNA from 1 species
GGGUCAGGAGGUUGGUCGUGCCACCGGUACGUACUGGUCUCACUGAUUCCUCCUUCCUGAAGAACCGUAAUGCCAUUAAUUUGGUGUUGCGGGGAAACAGGACCGUUACUUUGAAAAAAUUAGAGUGUUUAAAGCAAGCUAACGCUUGAAUACAUUAGCAUGGAAUAAUGAAAUAGGACGAUCGAUCCUAUUUUGUUGGUUUCUAGGAUUGACGUA